rnacentral:lncRNA from 1 species
AUGGAUUGGCUGGGAGGUGGAUGUUUACUUCAGCUGACUUGGAAUAUCAACCGUUAUCAUUGAUACAGGAUUUGGCAAAAACUGUAUACAGAGACUUGAGGGUUUUUUUUUUAAUUUAAUUACUAUAAAUUUAACUUGCUCUCGUAUCUUUUCAGUUGUGUUAUACAUUUCUCACAUGGCAUAAGACCGAUGCAGAAGAAUGUCCUUACGUGGUUGGUGGCUCUCGCAAUGAGCUUGGAUAAGCAAGGGCUCUGAUGUCAGACGAGUAGCCACCUGGGCCUCACCGGUCAGUUUACUCUGAUGUGGAGGAGGGAAAGGCACUGUUUCACACUAGGUGCUUUUCUCACCUGCAAAGUAGGUGUGGUGUCCACUUCACGGGGUGGGGGGAGGAAGGGUCGUGGUAGGGAUUGGCCUAGGCGAUGGAUGCGAAGUGGGCCAUUAGCCAGGGCCGCACAUUAAGUGCUGAGGAAUGCCAGCACACUAGCUGCUGCUAAUGCUGGCUGUAGUGCCUAAUAAUAGCACAUAGCAUGUUCUGGGUGGUCAGUAAAUCAUUGCCGUUAUAUUGAAAGUAGAUAUAACUCAUUGUUAUUCUAACAAGUAAAGGUGAUACCAACCUUCUGGUUUAAUGGAAAUAGUUUGAAUCUUCAAAAGCACUGUACUUCAGUGGCAGCGUUUAGAGGCCCAGCUUCUUGAACUCGUAUGCUGGUCCUGCCCCCAGAGCUCUUACUUUGGGGGAGUUACUGGUCUCUCUCAAUUUCUUCAGCCUGCCAAAUUGAGAUUGUAACAGUACCUGCUUAGUAGGAUUGUUAUGAGAUUCAGUGAGUUAAUAAUAUUAUGAAUGAGUUAAUACCAGUAAAGUGUUAGAAUGGUAACAUAACUAAGCUCCUGGUAAAUGGUGGCUGCUAUUACUACUACUACCACUACUGUUUUAAAAACACGCUUGUCGGGAGUUACUCUUGUGGCUCAGCAAUCCUUAACCCACUGAGCAAGGCCAGGGAUCAAACCUUCAUCUUCAUUGAAUGCUCAUCAGAUUCAUUAACUGCUGAGCCACUACAGGAACUCCCUGAGUUAUUUUCAAGUAAGGUGUGGGUAUGAAUGAGAAACAAAGUUUGGGAACUCGGUACUGGCAAAUCCUUCAUUUUCGGGUAACUUUCUAAAUGUGCAGUCAUUCCUUCUGUGAUGUUUAGAGUAAAUGUGAACAAUAUGUAAAAACAUUCUCUUCGCAGUCACAUACCACAGCCUUCCUUUUUAUAGUCGGAAUCAUUAACGCAGUGGUGAUCCUUCCAAGCUCUUAUUUAUUUUUUGUUUUGUUUUGUUUCAUUUUGUUUUGUUGGCCAUGCCUGUAGCACAUAGAAGUUCCCGGGCCAGGGAUCAAACCUGCUCCAUAGCAGUGACCCCAGCCACUGCAGUGGUAAAGCUGGAUCCUUAACCCGCUGCACCACAGGGGAACUCCUUAAAACUAUGUGCCAUCAAAGCUAAGAAAUGCAAUUGAUUAUAUGACACCAGUAGUUUAUGUACUGAGAAAGAAGAAAAAACCUUGGGAAAUGCAGAGAGUACUUUCUCAUCAUUUCAAAUUUUAUUUAUACUUAUCUAAAGAUCUCUUUUUUGAAUUACUCAAUGAAUUUUAUUACAUUUAUAAUUGUACAAUAAUCAUCACAACCAAAUUUGAUAGCAUUUCCAUCCCAAACCCUCAGUGCGUCCCCCGACCCCCUAACCUGUCUCCUUUAGAAACCAUAAGUUUUUCAAAGUCUGUGAGUCAGUAUCUGUUCUGCAAAGAAGUUCAUUGUGUCCUUUUUUUAGAUUUCACAUGUGAUAGCAUUUGAUGUUGGUGUCUCAUUGUCUGACUGACUUCACUUAGCUUGAUAAUUUCUAGGUCCAUCCAUGUUGCUGAAAAUGCCAUUAUUUCUUUUCUUUUAAUGGCUGAGUAAUAUUCCAUUGUGUAUAUGUACUGUAUCUUUAUCCACUCCUCUGUCGAUGGGUGUUUAGGUUGUUUCCAUGUCUUGGCUAUCAUUUAGAGUGCUUCAGUGAACAUUGGAGUACAUGUGUCUUUGCGAGUCGUAGUUUUCUCUGGGUAGAUGCCCAGGAGUGGGAUUGCUGGAUCAAAUGGUAGUUCUAUGUUUAGUUUUCUGAGGAAUCUCCAUACUGCUUUGCACAGCGGUUGCACCAAUUUACAUUCCCACCAACAGUGUACUAGGGUCCCCUUUUCUCCACACCCUCUCCAGCACUUAUUGUCUGUAGACUUUUUGAUGAUGGCCAUUCUGACUAAAGAUCUCUUUUAAGACAUUUAUUCUGAUCAGUGUUUUAAAAUCAUGAAACAUAUGAAAAGGAAAGUUUCUUCAUCUUUGCACUAACAGUUCUUAGACCUUGGGUAUUCCCCUGAGUUUGUCGUUCGUGGUACUCUCUUUCAUGAGGACUACUUGUGAAUACACUGUGUACAUGGAACCUCUGUUAUGGUGCCAGUGCUUGUCUAGAUACUCUCGUAACAUUCUCAUCUAACCCUUGCAGCAACCCUUUUGGGUAAGUGUUCAUGCAUUUUACAGUUGAGGAAACUGAAGCUCAGAAAAAUUAAGUUGCUUAUUUUGAUCACAGAGCAGUUAACGUGAUGGAGGCCCCUGACCUCAGAGCAAGUGCUCUGGGUACCUUAAGUGGUUCUUAUAACCACUAUGGGUCUGAGACAUUUGUGGAGAUUAAAAAAAAUAAAUACAUGGGAGAGAUCUACCCUUAGAUACGCAGUCAAUCUAGAAUGGAACAUCUGUAAUUUUUAAAAGUGUGUGUUUAAAUGUGUGAUUUUUAUUUUCAUACCUUUCAGAACCAGCAUAUCCUAUGCUGCCAGGUAAAUCUUCACUUUGUCCUUUUUAAAAAAAUUUUUUUAAUUGUUUUGGCCGCACCCACAGCAUGUGGAAGUUUCUGGAGCAGGAAUCAAACCUGCAUCAUAGCAGUGACAACACCAGGUCCUUAACCACUAGGCCAUCAGGCAUCUCCUUGCCCUUUUCUCAUUGCUAAGUUUACUGAUAUUCUUUGGCACCUGCCAAUUUUCCUAUUGUUAUAGUUCUAGAAUCAGUAGGGCUUAUAAUUGCGCCUUCACUUUAAGGUGGGAAUUAAAUACGGUGAUACCAAGAAUGUUGCAUAACCAUCGUCUCCAUCUGUAUGUUAAACUGAGAGAUCAUCCCCUGAGCAGCCAUCUACAUUAGAACCCCAGCCAGUCUUAGUAAUUGUCCACCUCGGGAGCUCCCGUCGUGGCUCAGCAGAAAUGAAUCUGACUAGUAUCCAUGAGGACACAGAUUUGAUUCCUGGCUUCGCUCAGAGGGUUAAGGGUCUGGUGUUGCCGUGAGCAGGUUGCAGAUGUGGCUUGAAUCUGGCAUUGCUGUGGCUGUAGUGUAGCCCAGUGGCUACAGCUCCGAUUCAGUCUCUCCCCUGGAAAUUUCCAUAUGCCACGGGUGCAGCCCUAAAAAGAUUUAAAAAAAAAAAAAAUUGUCUACAUGGAAACUUUAAAUAUGUUUUAAAAACUGCACAUGUAAUAAGAAUGAUUAUGAACCUAAGGAAAUUUAAACUUUUUAUUUCCACAAAAGUAUUUGAAGUUUUCAUUUCAAACUAAACAGGAUACUGUUUGUU